rnacentral:other from 1 species
ACCGACCUGCGCUGCUCGUGAUGCCGGGGGAAGGUUUCAACCUCGCACACAAAAAGGGAGCCUGGACAGAGGGCGGUGAGCAAGCCUCUCGAUGAAGGGGACGCCUGAAGCCCUCGACAUAGAGGUUCCCACCUGGCCACGCCAGGUUCGAAACACCGCCGGCACACGGCAGGGCGGGCAGUUC